CAGUAGCCGCGGUAAUACGGGGGGGGCAAGUGUUAUUCGGAAUGACUGGGCGUAAAGCGCGCGUAGGCGGUUUUUUAAGUCUGAUGUGAAAGCCCACGGCUCAACCGUGGAGGGUCAUUGGAAACUGGAAAACUUGAGUGCAGAAGAGGAAAGUGGAAUUCCGUGUGUAGCGGUGAAAUGCGCAGAGAUAUGGAGGAACACCAGUGGCGAAGGCGACUUUCUGGUCUGUAACUGACGCUGAUGUGCGAAAGCGUGGGGAUCAAACAGGAUUAGAUACCCCCGUAGUCCCUGUCUCUUAUAC
rnacentral:rRNA from 1 species